CAUAGGUCAGUGUGUCCGCGGUCUGAUCCUGGUCGUCAGCUCUGGAGCCUGACGGCGCAGAUGUGUCCAGCCGCCUGGCCAGGGCGAGGGGCUGACGUGGGGACGCAGUGGGACAGAGCACUCAGCAGACCCCUGGACGUGCAGGGUCUUUCCCUGAUGCCUCCCGGAGGGCACCGAGGAGAUGGCCUGUGGUGUGAGUCUGUCUGGACCCUCAGGUACUGCGGUUCUUUGAGGGGGUUUUAGUUAGUCUCAUUCUCCUGUGAGGAAUUCAGGUUUCAUUACAUCUGGAGACCACGAGAUACGAUUAAAUCUCACCGUUCGGAACAUGCAAACAGAACUAACCUGAUGUGGAAACACCAAGACCAGCUAUUUCUGAAACUCAGUUUCGAGUUUGCAAAAAUAAAGUGACAUUCUCUCGAUCACAGCUUUUAGAUUAUCAGAAAUAUUUUUCCAUCUCAGACUUAUCUCUUCAUGGGAAGAACAGAAUAAUAUUCCACUAUAUUGGAGAACGUCUGAUAAGUAAAGAUAAGCAACUUUGCAACUUGACGCUGGAAAAGGCAAAAUAGAGAAACCAGCGUCUCAGCGGACGCCCCGCUAGGGUGCCUGUGGCCCUGCCCUGCUCUACGCUUUGGGAAAACCCUUCUGAGAGAGACAGUGAAGCCUUUCGAAGACAGUAUAAAGGAGGAAAAUCAAGGACAGUGUGACAGAGUGGCAGAGGGAAGGGAUGGGCCGGUCUCCUGUACAGAUAUGGUUGCAAAAGUCCUACAUAAAAUGCUAGCAGAGAGCACAUGUGCCAUGGUGCGCCCCCGUGGGGUCUAUCCUGCAAUGGAGAGCGGUCAGUGGUAGGAGGUCGUGGCUGCGUUCACCAGGCUCACAGUUGGAAAGGUCCACUCACAGAUUGAGGAAAAGCAUCGGAUAGAAUUCUGCACUCACAAUGGAAAACCCAAGAGAAAGAGCUGGAGAUGUCCAUGCGCUGAUUAAGAGGAGUGCCAAAACUCUUGGCAGUGAGGGCAAUUUUUAAAGGAUGCUGACAAGAUGGUUAUAGAAUUUAUGUGAAAGAGCAAAGGUGUCAAGAGUGGAGGAGAAAUAAGACACAGGGGCGGGUCGUGUUGGAGCUCGAGAUUUAUUGAAAAGGAGAGCCACUGCAGUAUUGUAUGUUCGGGGAAGCAAUUAAACAAAUUGACAGCGAGACAGAGCACAGUGAGCACGCAUGCCCUAAGGCAAAAACCUCUUUAGGAAAGAAAAAAAGAAAGAAACUCAAAAGACCCUAUACAUGAAUGAAAUAAAUGAAAAGCCACAAACCAGGAGGAAACACCUAUGACACACCUGACCAUAUAAGAUCCAGAAAGAAGGCUCUGCAAGUCGAUGGAAAAGUGGCACAGGACCCCGGCCCGCGCUCUGCAGGAGGGGAAAUCAGAGAGAAGAUACGGGAGGCCCACACUCCUCGAGAGCUGGAGCAUGCAAAUGAAGACCCAGUGAGACGGGGGCGCUCUUGGCGCUGAGUCUGGCGCUCUGCGUGCCCUUUGCCAUGGGAAAGCGCCGCUUUUCAGAAGGUGCGUCACUAAGAGGCCUGACGGUUCCAACCACAUUUUCCAGCUCAAUAGUCUACGAGCUCGGCCAGGCGAGGACAGUGUAAGCUGGCUGCCCACACCCCGCUCCACGAUGACAUCCGCUCCCGGCGGCGCUAUCAGCCGGCCACGGGGGAGCCGGG